rnacentral:rRNA from 1 species
GAUGAACGCUGGCGGCGUGCCUAAUACAUGCAAGUCGAGCGGACAGACGAGGAGCUUGCUCCUCUGACGUUAGCGGCGGGCGGGUGAGUAACACGUGGAUAACCUACCUAUAAGACUGGGGUAACUUCGGGAAACCGGAGCUAAUACCGGAUAAUAUAUUGAACCGGAGGGUUCAUUAGAGAAAGAGGGUUUUGCUGUCACUAAUAGAUGGAUCCGCGCCGCAUUAGCUAGUUGGUAAGGUAACGGCUUACCAAGGCUACGAUGCGUAGCCGACCUGAGAGGAUGAUCGGCCACACUGGAACUGAGACACGGUCCAGACUCCUACGGGAGGCAGCAGUGGGGAAUCUUCCGCAAUGGGCGAAAGCCUGACGGAGCAACGCCGCGUGAGUGAUGAAGGUCUUCGGAUCGUAAAACUCUGUUAUUAGGGAAGAACAGAUGUGUAAGUAACUAUGGACGUCUUGACGGUACCUAAACAGAAAGCCACGGCUAACUACGUG